GUAUUUGAAUUUGUGGCGCUUGGUGUCCGCGAGUUGCCGAAUGAAGCUGAGCGUCUCAGUGGAACCAGGGAUCUCAGGGAGGGGAAGGUAUAAAAUUUUCAAAUGGAGGAGUAUACCUGAACCUAAUCAUGGAUGUGAUUUUAUUGAAGACUGAAGCCUUAGGCUAUGGCAGAAGUUGGGCGCCUGAAGUACACGUGGAAAUAUGCCAACUGAACAUUGGACUACCACGUCAAGGGUCUCCUACCCCUGGGCCAUGGAUCAAUACCAGUCUGUGACCUGUUAGGAACCGGUAGCAGGAGCGCCUGCCCCUGGCUCAGCGCCCGGUGCCAACAGAACACCUUUCAGGAUCCACAGCAACGCAGACAACGUAAGUACCAGCCGUUCCCUGAAACCCUUUUGCAGAUUUUUUAAAAACAACCACCUAAAACAUAGAGAGAGAGAGACAAGCCUCUUUCCCCUUCUUCUCCCCUGCGUUAUGCCACCAGUGUUUCCUCAGUAGCCCCUUCCAAAUCGCUCUGCCUUCAAGUUUGUGCAUGUCUGUGUGGCAUCCCUCCUCCUCCUUCACUCCCAUAGUGGAUCUUGUAAAAGGGCUUCAGAUCGGCCCCAUUCAUCUCCCUGGUGAUAGCAGUGAAUGUAGAUAAAUCUCUGGCUGCCUGCUUGCUGCUGGAGUAUGAUUUUUAUUUUGUCUUCUGUGUAUACCUGGGUCAAAAAGUGGGAUGUAUGCAUACACAUACAUGCACAUACACAUAUUUCCUUCUCUCUCCUCUCUCUCCCUCCUUUUUCUCACACAUGCAUACAUCCUACAUAUGUGUGUAUAUGCAUAAACAUAUACACCUAUAUACAUACCCAUACCUGUAGCACAAAAUAUAUACAUAUCUAAACGUUUGUCUGAAAAUAUGCAUAUUUAUAUACACAUACAACCUUACACAUGUGUUUAUACGCAAUCGAUAGGUGCCUAUCUUUUAAUUUAUACCCAUCUAUAUCUCCAUUUAAAUAUUCCCUCUCUUCUCCCAGCAGAGGCUGUGUGCAAUUGCAAUCCAGGAUUAUACAAGCAGUAUUCUUUCCUUAUGAUUUCUAGUUGUAGACCUUUAUCCUCCUUUCUCUGCCUUCUUCGCAGCUGUAGAAUUGGCAUCUUUCCCUGAGGUUUUCCGAGUGGCAAGUGGCACCGGCUGUGGCAUGUAUUCAUGCCGCUUCCUAUGGCAUUUCUCUUCCGAUGUCUGCUUUUUCUUUGUUUGUUGUUGACUAGGCUGAAUGGUGGGGUUUUUUUUAAGUUAAUUAUAAACGAAGUUGAAAUAGCAAACAAGCCAACAGCUUGUCCCCCCCACCAAAAGAAAAAUUAGCCCCACACAAGCGCCUUCUGCUGCAACAGAUGCCCAGAUCACCCCUGGCACGGGCAAACGGGCAAACGAUUUUGGUGGUUUUCAGUUUUUUCUGUUUGUUGCUGUAUUUGUUGUUUGUUUUCCUUGUUUCUUUUUGAUUUUUCGAGGAGUCCAGAAUCCCGGCCUCUGCUUGGAACGGAACAGUGUCAUGGCGGAGACGACGGCCUUUGUCUUGCUGGGUGUGAAAACAUCCGCUGUGCUGGCUCCACUGCGGCAGAAUCAAGUUUAAAGGAAAAAAAGUGAUUAAAGUCAGCUUUGUGCCUCUGUGGUGUGGAAGACCCCCAAACCCCAAGUAGCCGAGUCCCAGGGUCCGAGGAAGGGCUCAUAGUUGGAGCAGCCUAGGCUGUAAUCCUGGCACUUGCGCCUUCGGUUGCUGCUUGCUGUUCGCUCCUGGGGGUCUGGAUAAUCUCCCUUGGCUUUACCGCACUGUCUGGCCCGCAUACAGGGCCCCGUAUCAUAUACCCGCUGCUGCUAUCACACGAAACUGUGGCGUUGCCCCUGAAUGGAUGGCACGGUGCCAACUCUUCUGCCAUCCGCCCUUGCAGCUUUUUUCUUUUCUCCCUCCCUCCCCUUCUUCUUCUCCUCCUCCCGUCGACUUGACGUUAAUUAACACUCGGGUUAAUUGAUUUUAAAAGCCGAAGAAUUACAGUUAACUUUUCCCACAGGGUACAGACGCCAGCCGCUUGGCACACUCUGCUUUUCGCACUGGUGCAGGGGAACAGGGAAAGCCCGCAGCAAAGCUAGCAACUGCUGAGGGAGCGUUGCCUGCUUAUUGGAGUAGAGCCGAUAGAAGUCGACGUGGCAUUGCCUCAUCCUUUACAAUAUAUGUAUCCAUUAUAUAUUUUGUUAAAUAAUCA
rnacentral:lncRNA from 1 species